CACCACAAGGAGUGGAUUGUGCGGCUUAAUUUGACUCAACGCGAGGAAACUUACCAGGGCCAAGUGCUGUGCAGAAACGAGCAGCACACAAGUGGUGCAUGGUCGUUGGAAAUUGAUGGGUUGACUUUGGCCUUAAAUGGCUGAAUGAGUGAGAUCUUUGGACAUGUUCCCACAGGAACAGGAAGACGAGGCUAUAACAGAUCAGAGAUGCCCUUAGAUGCCCUGGGCUGCACGCGCAAUACAAUAGCACGCACCAACACAGACACACACGUGCUCAGGUGGACUGUGCUCUGUAAGGGGCACACGAAAGAGGAAUUCCUAGUAAGCGCCCAUCAUCAAUAGGCGUUGAAUCAGUCCCUGUAGCUUGUACACACCGUCCGUCACUAUCUCAGAUGUUUUUCGGGAUGAAGAGUCUAGGCUCUGAAUAACGAAAAGUAGAUAAGAUGUAAGUCGUAACAAGGU
rnacentral:rRNA from 1 species